UGCCUUGGCAACUUUGAGUGGAGUGGGGUAAUUGUCUUCAUUGGAUUUCUUAGAUGCACUUUCAUUCUUCACACAUUUAUAGAGAGGGUAAUCAAGUUGCUGAUGCGUUAGCUAAUUUUGGUGAUUCUUUGUCUGAUAUGAUUCGGCAUGUCUCUUCAAUCUUUCGAGAGAUAAGGUUGUUGUUUUCUCCUUGCCUGCCUCAAACCAACAAGAGUUUUUGCUAAAGCAACAAAGAAGGGUGCCUGAAAC